GCAACGAGGGGCAAGGAGGGAGACAGAAAAAGAGGUGAAAAAGCCCGUAGUCCGUUUGAAGGGGGAAAAACACGAACAAUAUUAUGGGAGGAAUCUCCUAAUGCACCAAUGUGAAUUUAGAGUACAGAUUGCACAAGGCUACACAGGAAGCACACAGUGUAUGUGAGCUCAAUACCACUCAGUAAGCUUGUGCAAACCGGUAUUCAGACUAGCUUGGAGGGGUGAAGAGAGCCCCAGAACAGCUAGGUGAAACAUCUGGAAAUCCUGGACACCCCUCAGCACAGAGGGGCUAUUAAGGAGCAGGUGAGUGCCACAGAAACUUCAAGGGAACUCACUUGAU
rnacentral:lncRNA from 1 species